CCGGCGCACGGGUGAGUAACACGUAUGCAACCUGGCCGUCACAGGUGGAUAACCGGAAGAAAUUCCGACUAAUACAGCAUAACACUCCUGAGGGACAUCCUUCGGGAGUCAAAGGAGGCAACUCCGGUGACGGAUGGGCAUGCGGCGCAUUAGGUAGUUGGUAGGGUAACGGCCUACCAAGCCGACGAUGCGUAGGGGUUCUGAGAGGAAGGUCCCCCACAUUGGAACUGAGACACGGCCCAAACUCCUACGGAAGGCAGCAG
rnacentral:rRNA from 1 species